CCUACGGGUGGCAGCAGUGAGGAAUAUUGGUCAAUGGGCGAGAGCCUGAACCAGCCAAGUCGCGUGAGGGAAGACGGUCCUAUGGAUUGUAAACCUCUUUUGUCGGGGAGCAAAAAGGCCUCGUGAGGCCACAAGUGAGAGUACCCGAAGAAAAAGAAUCGGCUAACUCCGUGCCAGCAGCCCCGGUAAUACGUGGAAUGCGAGCGGUAUACGUAUUAAUUGGGUUUAAAGGGUGCGUAGGCGGACUGGAAAGUCAGGGGUAAAACCGAGCGGCCCAACCUCGUUCGGCCGUUGAAACUGGCGGUCUUGAGUGGGCGAGAAGUAUGCGGAAUGCGGGGUGUAGCGGUGAAAUGCAUAGAGAUCACGCAGAACUCCGAUUGCGAAGGCAGCAUACCGGCGCCCGACUGACGCUGAGGCACGAAAGCGUGGGUAGCGAACAGGAUUAGAUACCCUAGUAGUC
rnacentral:rRNA from 1 species